AAAGAAAAGAAUAGAAAAGAAAGAAAGGAUGAAACGAAACAGAGAAAAGAAAGAAGAAAGGAAAAAGGAAAGAAGAAAAAAAGUGAAAAAUUGGGAUUUCAAGGUUUGGAAGUUUAAUUGGAAAUCUCGGCUAAGCAAGGAAAAAUGGCAAAGACAACGGGAGUUAGCUCGAGAAAAUACGGUUAAGUUAAGGCUAGAUUAUUGAAUCAGCAUCCCAUGCCGAUCCUGAAUUCGAUGAGGUAAAGCAUGUUGAGUAUUGGUAAUGGCAUGUACCUAGAAUGUUUUAUGAGAGCCAUUUAGGUUGUGAAAGUAUUGAUAAAAUAAGUAAAUUAUGAUUGGCAAUGGUAUAUAGUAUGAAUUUGAAAAUUGGAAGAAAAAUUCGUAGUAA